CACACCAAUUAAAAGGAUCCCUGAACUAUAUGCCAUCCAAAAAUAAAAAGAAAGAACAAGAUAUUUGGCCAGAAAAGCUAAUAAUAAGAUUUGCAGUAUUAAGGAAAUGACUCCCAGAGCACAAAAGUCAGAGAAAAUACAGAAAAUUAUUUAAAAAGGAAAUUAGAAAAGAAAAGUAUUGAGAUGGUACUGGUAGAAAACUCCGCUUCUAGUAUGGCUGAUUCUAUUAUACAGAGAGCAGACCCGUUAAAAAUAAUAGAAGUAACUAAGCAAUUAACUAACUCCAAGCAGUCGUAAAGUUCCCCAACAGUCGUGAGCCACAAAUGUAAUAAGACGAAUGCGUUACAACCAUCUUAAGAUCGAUAAGUAACCCUUAUCAGCAGUGUUGAUCGCCAGCUCUCACGAUGGGUAGAACAAUAUUUGAACUCAUUUUCUCGAUCCGUGGAUAUUCAACUAGAAGCAAUAGACUCCAUACCGAUAUUGGCUACCUUAAACGAACUCGAUGAACCACCUACACACGAAUACAAGAAUUUCAAAAUGCUAUUAAACUGCUCAAAAGAGCCCUGGAAACGAUGGAAUUCCUGCAGAACUCCUAAAAGUGCAGUGCACUCAACCUAUCAUUUACAAGUUGAGAGUAAAGUAUCGGAAGAAAGUAUACGUGCCACACUGUAACAAUUACCGCGGUGUAUCCUUGUUAAGCAUCGUUGGUAAACUUUUUGCUCGUAUAAUAUUAGUAAAGAUGUGCCCAAAUAUCCACUAUUGAUAUAAUCUUCACAAUCAGUUUCGUUGAUCUCAAUAAAGCCUUCGACACCGUGAGCAGAGAAGGUCUGUAUGCUGUAGAGAAAGUAGGACGCCUGCCUAAGAUUCUGUACUUGAUCAAAAAUUUACACCAAGACAUGAAAGAUGAUGCAGCUCUUGUCGCUACCUCACAAGAAGAGCUCCAGAACAUCAUGGACAAGUUUGCUAAGGCAUGUGUACUGCUUUCAAUGUCUAUCAACGCAAA